rnacentral:rRNA from 1 species
UGAUCUUUAGGGGGCCUGAGAGGGUGAUCCCCCACACUGGUACUGAGACACGGACCAGACUCCUACGGGAGGCAGCAGUGAGGAAUAUUGGACAAUGGGUGAGAGCCUGAUCCAGCCAUCCCGCGUGAAGGACGACGGCCCUAUGGGUUGUAAACUUCUUUUGUAUAGGGAUAAACCUACUCUCGUGAGAGUAGCUGAAGGUACUAUACGAAUAAGCACCGGCUAACUCCGUGCCAGCAGCCGCGGUAAUACGGAGGGUGCAAGCGUUAUCCGGAUUUAUUGGGUUUAAAGGGUCCGUAGGCGGGCUUGUAAGUCAGUGGUGAAAUCUCAUAGCUUAACUAUGAAACUGCCAUUGAUACUGCAGGUCUUGAGUAAAGUAGAAGUGGCUGGAAUAAGUAGUGUAGCGGUGAAAUGCAUAGAUAUUACUUAGAACACCAAUUGCGAAGGCAGGUCACUAUGUUUUAACUGACGCUGAUGGACGAAAGCGUGGGGAGCGAACAGGAUUAGAUACCCUGGUAGUCCACGCCGUAAACGAUGCUAACUCGUUUUUGGGGCUUCGGCUUCAGAGACUAAGCGAAAGUGAUAAGUUAGCCACCUGGGGAGUACGUUCGCAAGAAUGAAACUCAAAGGAAUUGACGGGGGCCCGCACAAGCGGUGGAUUAUGUGGUUUAAUUCGAUGAUACGCGAGGAACCUUACCAAGGCUUAAAUGGGAAUUGACAGGUUUAGAAAUAGACUUUUCUUCGGACAAUUUUCAAGGUGCUGCAUGGUUGUCGUCAGCUCGUGCCGUGAGGUGUUAGGUUAAGUCCUGCAACGAGCGCAACCCCUGUCACUAGUUGCCAUCAUUAAGUUGGGGACUCUAGUGAGACUGCCUACGCAAGUAGAGAGGAAGGUGGGGAUGACGUCAAAUCAUCACGGCCCUUACGCCUUGGGCCACACACGUAAUACAAUGGCCAGUACAGAGGGCAGCUACCAGGCGACUGGAUGCGAAUCUCGAAAGCUGGUCUCAGUUCGGAUUGGAGUCUGCAACUCGACUCUAUGAAGCUGGAAUCGCUAGUAAUCGCAUAUCAGCCAUGAUGCGGUGAAUACGUUCCCGGGCCUUGUACACACCGCCCGUCAAGCCAUGGAAGUUUGGGGUACCUGAAGUCGGUGACCGUAACAGGAGCUGCCUAGGGUAAAACAAGUAACUAGGGCUAAGUCGUAACAAGGUAGCCGUACCGGAAGGUGCGGCUGGAACAUCUCAUU